rnacentral:lncRNA from 1 species
CUGGGAUUCUGUAAUCCCAGUGAGCCACCGCGCCUGGCCCAUAAUCAACCUCAGCUGCCAACGCCAGAAUCAACCUCAGCUGCCAAAUGCUAGACUGAAAAAAGAAUGUAAACAGCUUGAUGGAGGGGAGGAUCCUGGUGCACCUGUGGUUUUGACAGCUUUUGCUGCUGCUUGAGGAGGAAACAGGUUGCCUGUUUGUUCUUCAAGAGCACUUCUGGCAUCCAGAUGCUUCAGGUGACUACAGCCAGCUCCAGAGGUUCCAAAGAUCUUAAAGAUGUCCCAGAAAAGUUCUAGAGUACUAUCAGAUCUCACACUUUGCCUUGGAAGCUGUCAUUCCCCUCCAUUGGCCCCACAACUGCAGUAUAAUCUUCAGUGACAGGAGAAAAUCGACCUUGUUUGUACAGAAGUCUCAGCAGGAAUAGGCAGAUGCCUGUUUUUGCUGCCAAGGAUGGAGGAUUGGAAUGGGCCCAUUAUAUAUUUUGAGGCUUUGAAGAAAAGUCUCAGGAUAUGUUUUCCCAUUAAAAUACUGUUAUAAACAAUUAGA